UGGGGAAUAUUGCACAAUGGGCGCAAGCCUGAUGCAGCCAUGCCGCGUGUGUGAAGAAGGCCUUCGGGUUGUAAAGCACUUUCAGCGAGGAGGAAGGUGGUGAGCUUAAUACGCUCAUCAAUUGACGUUACUCGCAGAAGAAGCACCGGCUAACUCCGUGCCAGCAGCCGCGGUAAUACGGAGGGUGCAAGCGUUAAUCGGAAUUACUGGGCGUAAAGCGCACGCAGGCGGUUUGUUAAGUCAGAUGUGAAAUCCCCGGGCUCAACCUGGGAACUGCAUUUGAAACUGGCAAGCUAGAGUCUCGUAGAGGGGGGUAGAAUUCCAGGUGUAGCGGUGAAAUGCGUAGAGAUCUGGAGGAAUACCGGUGGCGAAGGCGGCCCCCUGGACGAAGACUGACGCUCAGGUGCGAAAAGGCGUGGGGGCAGCAAAACAGGAUUAGAUACCCUGGUAGUCCACGCUGUAAACGAUGUCGAUUUUGGAGGUUGUGCCCCUUGAGGCGUGGNUUCCGGAGCUAACGCGUUAAAUCGACCGCCNGGGGAGUACGGCCNCAAGGUUAAAACUUAAAUGAAUUG
rnacentral:rRNA from 1 species